CCUACGGGUGGCAGCAGUGAGGAAUAUUGGUCAAUGGCCGGCAGGCUGAACCAGCCAAGCCGCGUGAGGGCGGCAGGCGCAGAGCGUCGCAGACCUCUUUUGCCGGGGGACCAAAGGCCGGACUCGUCCGGUCCUGAGGGUACCCGGCGACAAAGCAUCGGCUAACUCCGUGCCAGCAGCCUCGGUCAUACGGAGGAUGCGAGCGUUAUCCGGAUUCAUUGGGUUUACAGGGUGCGCAGGCGGGCCUUUAAGCCGGCGGUGAACUCGCGGGGCUCAACCCCGCCGAGCCGUCAGAACUGGGGGCCUUGAGUGCGGCGGAGGCAUGCGGAAUGCGCGGUGUAGCGGUGAAAUGCAUAGAUAUCGCGCAGAACCCCGAUUGCGAAGGCAGCGUGCCGUGCCGCCACUGACGCUGAGGCACGAAAGCGCGGGGAUCGAACAGGAUUAGAUACCCUUGUAGUC
rnacentral:rRNA from 1 species